rfam:Echinostoma caproni strain Egypt genome assembly, scaffold: ECPE_scaffold0006480
ACACUGUUGAUGAGAUCCAACCAGGUCGAAACAGUUGUCCAGUGU